GACACCAAGAGAUCUCGAC
rnacentral:miRNA from 1 species